GUCCAGUAACGUUGAUUCAGAGGAAGGGCAGACAGUCCAGUAACGUUGAUUCAGAGGAAGGGCAGACAGUCCAGUAACGUUGAUUCAGAGGAAGGGCAGACAGUCCAGUAACGAUGAUUCAGAGGAAGGGCAGACAGUCCAGUAACGUUGAUUCAGAGGAACAGCAGACAGUCCAGUAACGAUGAUUCAGAGGAACAGCAGACAGUCCAGUAACGUUGAUUCAGAGGAAGGGCAGACAGUCCAGUAACGUUGAUUCAGAGGAAGGGCAGACAGUCCAGUAACGUUGAUUCAGAGGAAGGGCAGACAGUCCAGUAACGUUGAUUCAGAGGAACAGCAGACAGUCCAGUAACGUUGAUUCAGAGGAAGGGCAGACAGUCCAGUAACGAUGAUUCAGAGGAAGGGCAGACAGUCCAGUAACGUUGAUUCAGAGGAAGGGCAGACAGUCCAGUAACGUUGAUUCAGAGGAACAGCAGACAGUCCAGUAACGAUGAUUCAGAGGAAGGGCAGACAGUCCAGUAACAGUCAACGAUGCUAAGGUCAUGAUAUGGUUGGAUGCACCCCAAAUGGCACCCUAUUCCCUAUGUAGUGCACUAUUUUAGACCAGAGCCCUAUUGCACCCUAUUCCCUAUAUAUAGUGCACUAUUUUAGACCAGAGCCCUAUGGCACCCUAUUCCCUAUAUAGUGCACUACAUUAGACAAGAGCCCUAUGGAACCCUAUUCCCUAUAUAUAGUGCACUACUUUAGACCAGAGCCCUAUGGCACCCUAUUCCCUAUAUAUAUAUAUAUAUAUAUAUAGUGCACUACAUUAGACAAGAGCCCUAUGGAAUCCUAUUCCCUAUAUAUACUGCACUACUUUAGACCAGGGCCCUAUGGCACCCUAUUCCCUAUAUAGUGCACUACUUUAGACCAGAGCCCUAAGUGUGUACAAUAGAUGUACCAUUGUAAAGUGGUUGUUCCACUGGAUAUCAUAAGGUCAAUGCACCAAUUUGUAAGUCGCUCUGGAUAAGAGCGUCUGCUAAAUGACGUAAACGUAAAUGUUUUACAUACGGACAUGUUGUUCACAAACUCUUUAUUUUAAAACAAACGAUUUCUACAAUCAUAAAUCAAAUGGAUACAGUUUAAAAAAGAUACGGCAUUAAAAUCCAAAGGCGGAUAUUUGCAAGAUUGAUGAUUGUAUUGAAUAGGGGACUCGUAUCUCAUUAAAACAAACUGUUGUUUGAUGAUCAUCAAUAGUCAGUGGCACAAUGGCUCUGUUGUGAAGCCAUCAAAAUAAGCAGAGAGAUGAUGAGAUGAUGAGGUCAGGAGGGCUGAGGGGGAACAAAAUGGUGGACUGAAACAACCUUCAUCAUGAGGAAGGUCAGGAGGCCUGAGGGGGAACAAAAUGGUGGACUGAAACAACCUUCAUCAUGAGAUGAGGUCAGGAGGGCUGAGGGGGAACAAAAUGGUGGACUGAAACAACCUUCAUCAUGAGGAAGGUCAGGAAGCCUGAGGGAGAACAAAAUGGUGGACUGAAACAACCUUCAUCAUGAGAUGAGGUCAGGAGGGCUGAGGGGGAACAAAAUGGUGGACUGAAACAACCUUCAUCACGAGAUGAGGUCAGGAGGGCUGAGGGGGAACAAAAUGGUGGACUGAAAAAGCCUUCAUCAGUUGUUAUAAAGACUGUCACUACAAGCUUCCCGUUGGUUGACAGACCCAUUGCUUCACCAAUGAAGUUUGUAUUAAAGGCUGUGUGUUCCAAACUGGCUGCCUAUUCCCUAAAUAAUGCACUUCCUAUGGCUCCGGUCAAAAGUAGUGCACUAUAUAGGGAAUAGGGUGCCAGUUGGGACAUACGCCAAAGCUCCAACAGGUUCUAACUGAGAGAGUAAGACUGACUGUCUAUCAGAAGAGCGGUGAGCCUGCCAGGGCACAAGGAUGGAUGUGCUUGUGUUCCUUUCACCCUACCAGUUCACCAUUAAGACGGGACCAGACAAAGAGCAGCUCGUCUCAAGACUUGAUUCAGCAUAAAGAGCAGCUCGUCUCAAGACUUGAUUCAGCAUAAAGAGCAGCUCGUCUCAAGACUUGAUUCAGCAUAAAGAGCAGCUCGUCUCAAGACUUGAUUCAGCAUAAAGAGCAGCUCG
rnacentral:lncRNA from 1 species